GGAGAUUAUAUGGGGGAAGGAAGAACAAGAAGAUGAUCAGAUUCAUAAGCCACAGCAGACUUCCCAGAAGCGCCUUUGGCUUCAUCAGCGUUCUCACACCCCAAAGCUGCAGCUCUCCCCAGCGCACCCCACUCUCUCCACCCACCCCUCUGGUUCCUCUUCCCUUGCCCUGUGUGUGGCUGGGGUAGAUGGGGAACAUGAACCCCCACAGGUUCAUAAGUUCCAUCCCUUUUAUGCUCAGAUGUAUUUGAAGUUCCUUCCCUAGCAGUAAACUUCAAGAAAAAGAGACUGUGAA